rnacentral:rRNA from 1 species
UACGGAGGGUGCGAGCGUUAAUCGGAUUUACUGGGCGUAAAGCGUGCGUAGGUGGUCUUUUAAGUCGGAUGUGAAAUCCCUGAGCUUAACUUAGGAAUUGCAUUCGAUACUGGGAAGCUAGAGUAUGGGAGAGGAUGGUAGAAUUCCAGGUGUAGCGGUGAAAUGCGUAGAGAUCUGGAGGAAUACCGAUGGCGAAGGCAGCCAUCUGGCCUAAUACUGACACUGAGGUACGAAAGCAUGGGGAGCAAACAGG